AUUGAACGCUGGCGGCAUGCCUUACACAUGCAAGUCGAACGGUAACAGGUCUUCGGAUGCUGACGAGUGGCGAACGGGUGAGUAAUACAUCGGAACGUGCCCAGACGUGGGGGAUAACGAGGCGAAAGCUUUGCUAAUACCGCAUACGAUCUAAGGAGGAAAGCAGGGGACCGCAAGGCCUUGUGCGUUUGGAGCGGCCGAUGGCAGAUUAGGUAGUUGGUGGGAUAAAAGCUUACCAAGCCGACGAUCUGUAGCUGGUCUGAGAGGACGACCAGCCACACUGGGACUGAGACACGGCCCAGACUCCUACGGGAGGCAGCAGUGGGGAAUUUUGGACAAUGGGCGAAAGCCUGAUCCAGCAAUGCCGCGUGCAGGAUGAAGGCCUUCGGGUUGUAAACUGCUUUUGUACGGAACGAAAAGGCUCUGGCUAAUACCUGGGGCACAUGACGGUACCGUAAGAAUAAGCACCGGCUAACUACGUG
rnacentral:rRNA from 1 species